GGUCCCUUCGUCUAUCGGUUAGGACGGAAGAUUUUCAUUCUUCAAAGAGGAGUUCGAUUCUCCUAGGGACUACCA
rnacentral:tRNA from 1 species